AUUAGUAGAGAAGCGUGUGAGCCAGCUGCCAAGAAAAGCCGCUAUUGUUUCAUAAGUACCCGUACCGUAAACCGACACAGGUGGAUGAGGAGAGAAUCCUAAGGCCGGCGGGAGAAGUGUUGUUAAGGAACUCGGCAAAAUGACUCCGUAACUUCGGGAGAAGGAGUGCCACAGAGAUGUGGCCGCAGAGAAAUGGCCCAAGCAACUGUUUAGCAAAAACACAGGUCUAUGCAAAACCGAAAGGUGAGGUAUAUGGGCUGACGCCUGCCCGGUGCUGGAAGGUUAAGAGGAGAGGUUAGAGCAAUCGAAGCUUUGAAUUUAAGCCCCAGUAAACGGCGGCCGUAACAAUAACGGUCCUAAGGUAGCGAAAUUCCUUGUCGGGUAAGUUCCGACCCGCACGAAAGGCGUAAUGAUUUGGGCACUGUCUCAACAACACACCCGGUGAAAUUGAAAUACCAGUGAAGAUGCUGGUUACCUGCGCCAGGACGGAAAGACCCCAUGGAGCUUUACUCCAGUUUGAUACUGGGAUUCGGUACUGUCUGUACAGGAUAGGUGGGAGGCUAGGAAAUGGUGACGCCAGUUGCCAUGGAGCCAACCUUGGGAUACCACCCUUACAGUACUGGGUUUCUAACCUGCAGCCGUAACCCGGCUGGGGGACAAUGUCUGACGGGGAGUUUGACUGGGGCGGUCGCCUCCGAAAGAGUAUCGGAGGCGCUCAAAGGUUCCCUCAGAACGGUUGGAAACCGUUCGAAGAGUGCAAAGGCAGAAGGGAGCUUGACUGCGACACCGACGGGUGGAGCAGAUACGAAAGUAGGACUUAGUGAUCCGGUGGUAUAAAGUGGGAUUGCCAUCGCUCAACGGAUAAAAGCUACCCUGGGAUAACAGGCUUAUCACUCCCAAGAGUUCACAUCGACGGAGUGGUUUGGCACCUCGAUGUCGGCUCAUCGCAUCCUGGAGCUGUAGCAGGUUCCAAGGGUUGGGCUGUUCGCCCAUUAAAGCGGUACGCGAGCUGGGUUCAGAACGUCGUGAGACAGUUCGGUCCCUAUCCGGCGUGGGCGUAGGAUAUUUGAGAGGAGCUGUCCUUAGUACGAGAGGACCGGGAUGGACAAACCUCUGGUGUAUCUGUUGUUUUACCAAAGGCAUGGCAGAGUAGCCAAGUUUGGCAGGGAUAAACGCUGAAGGCAUCUAAGCGUGAAGCCCCCCUCAAGAUAAGAUAUCCCAUCUUCGGAGUAAGACCCCUUGAAGACUACAAGGUUGAUAGGCUUCAGGUGUAAGUGUGGUAACGCACUCAGCUGAGAAGUACUAAUAGGUCGAGGACUUACCAA
rnacentral:rRNA from 1 species